AGAUUGAACGCUGGCGGCAUGCUUUACACAUGCAAGUCGAACGGCAGCGCGGGGCAACCUGGCGGCGAGUGGCGAACGGGUGAGUAAUAUAUCGGAACGUACCCAAGAGUGGGGGAUAACGUAGCGAAAGUUACGCUAAUACCGCAUACGAUCCAAGGAUGAAAGCAGGGGACCGCAAGGCCUUGUGCUCCUGGAGCGGCCGAUAUCUGAUUAGCUAGUUGGUAGGGUAAAGCCUACCAAGGCUACGAUCAGUAGCUGGUCUGAGAGGACGACCAGCCACACUGGAACUGAGACACGGUCCAGACUCCUACGGGAGGCAGCAGUGGGGAAUUUGGACAAGUGGGCGCGAAGCCUGGAUCCAGCAAUGCCGCGUGAGUGAAGAAGGCCUUCGGUUGUAAGCUUCUUUGCAGGAAGGAACGGUGGAGCUAAGUAUACUCCGCUAAGUGACGUACUAGAAGAAUAGCAACCGGCUAACACGUGACCAG
rnacentral:rRNA from 1 species